rnacentral:rRNA from 1 species
UACGUAGGUGGCAAGCGUUGUCCGGAUUUACUGGGCGUAAAGAGCGCGCAGGCGGUCGAUCAAGUCGCGUGUGAAAGCCCCCGGCUCAACUUGGGAGGGUCACGCGAUACUGAUCGACUCGAAGGCAGGAGAGGGUAGUGGAAUUCCCGGUGUAGUGGUGAAAUGCGUAGAUAUCGGGAGGAACACCAGUGGCGAAGGCGACUACCUGGCCUGUUCUUGACGCUGAGGCGCGAAAGCUAGGGGAGCAAACGGG